rnacentral:rRNA from 1 species
GUCCACGCCGUAAACGAUGAGCACUAGGUGUCGCGGGUAUUGACCCCUGCGGUGCCUACGCUAACGCAUUAAGUGCUCCGCCUGGGGAAUACGGCCGCAAGGUUAAAACUCAAAGGAAUUGACGGGGGCCCCGCACAAGCGGUGGAGCAUGUGGUUCAAUUCGACGCAACGCGAAGAACCUUACCUGGGCUAGACAACGGAGGACCGCCUCAGAGAUGAGGUUUUCCCUUCGGGGACUUCCGGUUCAGGUGCUGCAUGGCUGUCGU